UACAUAAACACAGAAGAGAGAAUCCAACAACUCUCUCUUCCUUGUUCUCUUGUCCGAGUUUCAAUUUCAACUUCAAGCCACCGAAGACUAGGCUCCAUUGACAGAGACAGAAGAUCACACUAAAUUGAGAGAUUGAAAAAGGAGGAGGGAUCUUCGGAAUUUGUUGAUUGGUAACAUGGGAUUAGGGCUAUGAAUGUUUUAACCAGACCUAGACCUUGGUCAUUCUCAGGCAUCGAUUACCCAGAAACAAAAAAGAUGAGAAAUUUUGCUGGAAAGAUUUUGUUGGCUGCCAUGUUAACUGUUCUGUGUAUAUACAUUCUUAAGAAGUCAUCUAGUUUUACUACCCCAAGCCCGUUCUCUCGCCAUGAAACAGGGUAACUCAUGUUCUGGUAACAGGAGGAGCUGGCUUUAUUGGUUCACACCUGCUGCUCUCCGACUUCUAAAAGACUCAUAUCGUGUUACAAUAGUGGAUAAUCUCUCUUGGGGAAACUUUGGUGCUGUUAAGGUUCUUCAGGAGAAAUUCCCCGAACCUGGAUGGCUGCAAUUCAUAUACUAUGCUGAUUUGGGUGAUCCGAAAGCUGUAUCCUUAAUCUUCCAGUCUUAGAUAGUUUUUUGGCCAAUGCGUAUGCGUAAAAUGUGAAUGUUGGAGUCUAUAAUAAUUGGUUCAGGUAAAUAAAAUCUUCCGGGAGAAUGCAUUCGAUGCAUUUCGCGGCUGUCGCAUAUGUGGGAGAAAGCAUUCUUGAACCUCUUAGAUGGACGAAUUCACAUGAUUGCGAAAAUUAUUGAAUUUUCAAUAGUUAGGCACAUUGUACUUGCAUAUAAUGAUGAUGAUAUUGGAUGACACCGACGUGACAUGACAAGCUAAGAUUGCAUUCUCCAUAACCAAAUGGAUGGAUAUGGCUAGUGAUCAUAAAUAGCACAUCCAGGGCUGUAAGGUAAGAACUGUGACAGACCAUGCAAAGUACAGUUGGGCAAUUUGCAAAUAACUCAGACAUGCGUGUGAUGAUUUUAAGAUAUUUCAAUGUGAUUGGAUCUGAUCCUGUUGGGGGAAGCUCCCAGACCUGAACUACUUCGGAUUUCAGGGGCUUGCCUUGGGAAUCAUACCUGGCCUGAAGGGUACGGAUUAUAGCACAGCUGAUGGAACCUGCAUAAGAGACUACAUUGAUGUUACUGAUCUAAUUGAUUGAAGGCACUGGCAAAGGUGCAGCUACGGUGGGUGGGGCGAGGGGUUUCACGUUCGGGCCACAAAGCAACUACCAAGUGUUAUGUAAAGUUUGGGAAGGAGGAGGAGCUUCCAGUGACAGUGAAGUUGUGUGGAUGGAGGAGGACAGCACGUUGAUAAUAAUAAUAAUAAUUUGAUGACAGAUCAAACUGUAUCCGGAGAUUGAAAAAGGAGAAGGGAUCUUUGGAAUUGUUGUUUGCUAAUAGAGGGUUUGGACAAUGAAUGGUUUAAACAGACCUGGACCUCGUUCAUUCUCAGGCAUGGAUUACCCAGAAGCGAAAAAGAAGAGAAACUUUGCUGGAAAGAUUUUGUUGGCUGCCGUGUUAACUGUUCUGUGUAUGUAUAUUCUGAAGAACUCAUCUGGUUUUACCAACCCAACCCCGUUCUCUCGCCAUGAACCAGGAGUAACUCAUGUUCUAGUAACAGGAGGAUGUGGGUUUAUUGGUUCGCAUGCUGCUCUCCGACUUCUCAAGGACGCGUACCGUGUACAAUAGUGGAUAAUCUCUCUUGGGGAAACUUUGGUGCUGUUAAGGUUCUUCAGGAGCAAUUCCCCGAACCUGGAUAGCUGCAAUUCAUGAUUUGGGCGAUCCAAUAGCUGUAAAUAAAAUCUUCCGGGAGAAUGCAUUUCGCGGCUGUUGCAUAUGUGGGAGAAAGCAUUCUUGAACCUCUUAGGUAUUAUCAAACAUAACAUCGAACACCGUAGUAGUAGUACUAGAGGCAAUGGCAGCACAUGGGGUGAAGACGUUAAUUUAUUCGAUAAUUUCUUUUUUCUAUUCUGAUAUCAAUUUGUUGAUAGUGUAGAUUCCAAUAAAUCCAUAUGGUAAAGCCAAGAAGAUGGCCGAAGAUAUCAUACUAGACUUGUCAAUUAACUCAGACAUGGUUGUGAUGAUUUUAAGGUGAACUUGUUUCUGAUAAAUUUGGCAAUACUCCAUGCAAACAGAUAUAUAUGCGACUUUCAGAGUGGUAUGUAGUAAAAUACGAGACAUAUAAAAUGAGCAAAAUCAAUUACAGAAAAAGUGAUACGUUAUGGAUGAAAAAAAGAAGAAGAGAUGAAUCAACAGGUUUCUCUGGAAUCCUAUUAUUGGGGCUGCUCCUCUUUGACUUUUUGGGGCUAAAUUGCUUUGGGUAGCCAAGAAAUGGAUAGGGGGAGAUAUCAAGUGUUAAAAAGUCAGAUUUACCCUUUCUUAAUAAAUCAAUUUUAAAAACAAAUCUUAUAUAAUUAAAACCUAUUCCUAAUUCAAACCCCAAAAAUCAAAACCAUUUCAUUUUCAUUUUCUCUUCCGCUUCUCAAAAACACUCUCCUAAACCUCUCAAAAACACUCUCCAAAACCUAACAAUAUCUCCCUUUCUUCUCCACUGAUUUCUGAAGAAGCUCAAGAUGGCAGCAAGAUCAAAAGUGACAAGAUCCGGCCGAUUGAACCUGAUUCUGAAACAAGGAAAGUUAUUGAUGUUCCUUUUAAUAGAGAUGUGGUGAACCAAUUUGUUCAAACACCUGCGAAUCCUCCACAAAUGAAUCCUACUAGGAGGAACUCUGAAAAGGAGAAAUAACUCCGGGAACUACCAAUGUGUGAUAUUGCUACGAUGAUGGUCAAAAGAGCUAAGUGGAUUGCCAGGGGACUGAUCCGUAACAUUGAGGAGGUUCUAUAUUUGGAUUGCGACGAACAAAAAACACUGAUUAGGAGGAUUCAGGAGUUACAUAAUCCAGCGAAGGAUGAUCUCUAUACUAACGACAAGGAUGAUUGGAUCAGUCUUUCCCAAACUCCCGAUAGUUCUUCAUCAUCUUCCGAGGAAGUUCCUUCGAUUGUUGGUUGUAGUGGAUGAUUGUAGGUUAUGUACUUGUUUAAGUCAGACUUUUAUCAUGUUUUAGGUUAUGGAUUUGGGUGAUUUACUUUUCAGACU